UAUAGCUCAGAGGCACAGCACUUGUCUGGUGAGCAUGAGGUUCUGAGUUCAAUUCCUAGUA
rnacentral:tRNA from 1 species